CCUACGGGUGGCAGCAGUCGAGAAUCAUUCACAAUGGGGGAAACCCUGAUGGUGCGACGCCGCGUGGGGGAAUGAAGGUCUUCGGAUUGUAAACCCCUGUCAUGUGGGAGCAAAUUAAAAAGAUAGUACCACAAGAGGAAGAGACGGCUAACUCUGUGCCAGCAGCCGCGGUAAUACAGAGGUCUCAAGCGUUGUUCGGAAUCACUGGGCGUAAAGGGUUCGUAGGCUGUUUCGUAAGUCGUGUGUGAAAGGCGCGGGCUCAACCCGCGGACGGCACAUGAUACUGCGAGACUAGAGUAAUGGAGGGGGAACCGGAAUUCUCGGUGGAGCAGUGAAAUGCGUAGAUAUCGAGAGGAACACUCGUGGCGAAGGCGGGUUCCUGGACAUUAACUGACGCUGAGGCACGAAGGCCAGGGGAGCGAAAGGGAUUAGAUACCCCUGUAGUC
rnacentral:rRNA from 1 species